CGGGUGAGUAACGCGUAGGAACCCGCCUCGACGGUGGGGGAUAACACUUGGAAACAGGUGCUAAUACCGCAUGUGGUCGAGAGAAGAAGGCUUGAGCAAUCAAGUCGCGUUGAGGAGGGCCUGCGUCCGAUUAGCUAGUUGGUGGGGUAAAGGCUUACCAAGGCGACGAUCGGUAGCUGGUCUGAGAGGAUGAUCAGCCACACUGGGACUGAGACACGGCCCAG
rnacentral:rRNA from 1 species